rnacentral:rRNA from 1 species
CAAUAGCGUAUAUUAAAGUUGUUGCGGUUAAAAAGCUCGUAGUUGGAUUUCAGUCUAGGAAGGUUAACUCGCCGAAAGGUUGUACGUUGAUUUUCCUCAGACUUCGUCAGAAGCUCGUGCUGCACUUAACUGUGUGGUACGAUGUUCUGACCUUUUACCUUGAGGAAAGUAGAGUGUUUCAGGCAGGCUACCCAGCUUGAAUACAUUAGCAUGGAAUAAUGAAAUGGAUCUCGGUUCGAUUUCGUUGGUUCUAGAGCUGAGGUGAUGAUCAAUAGGAACAGGCGAAGGUAUUCGUACUUGAGAGUGAGGAGUGAAAUCCGAUGAUCUCUUAAAGACGAUCCGAGGCGAAAGCAUUUGUCAAGGAUGUUUUCAUUGA